UACGUAGGGUGCGAGCGUUGUCCGGAAUUAUUGGGCGUAAAGAGCUCGUAGGCGGUGUGUCGCGUCGGCCGUGAAAACCUGGGGCUUAACUCUGGGCGUGCGGUCGAUACGGGCAUCACUAGAGUUCGGCAGGGGAGGCUGGAAUUCCUGGUGUAGCGGUGAAAUGCGCAGAUAUCAGGAGGAACACCGGUGGCGAAGGCGGGUCUCUGGGCCGAUACUGACGCUGAGGAGCGAAAGCAUGGGUAGCGAACAGG
rnacentral:rRNA from 1 species